rnacentral:rRNA from 1 species
AACGAACGCUGGCGGCAUGCCUAACACAUGCAAGUCGAACGAGACCUUCGGGUCUAGUGGCGCACGGGUGCGUAACGCGUGGGAACCUGCCCUUAGGGUCGGAAUAACUCCCCGAAAGGGGUGCUAAUAGCGGAUAAUGUCUUCGGACCAAAGAUUUAUCGCCUUGGGAUGGGCCCGCGUUGGAUUAGCUAGUUGGUAGGGUUAAAGCCUACCAAGGCGACGAUCCAUAGCUGGUCUGAGAGGAUGAUCAGCCACACUGGGACUGAGACACGGCCCAGAAUCCUACGGGAGGCAGCAGUGGGGAAUAUUGGACAAUGGGCGAAAGCCUGAUCCAGCAAUGCCGCGUGAGUGAUGAAGGCCUUAGGGUUGUAAAGCUCUUUUACCCGGGAUGAUAAUGACAGUACCGGGAGAAUAAGCCCCGGCUAACUCCGUG